CCGACAUCCUUCCGACACAUCCGAUGUGACAUCCAAAAAAAUUUCAUCUCCAAUCUAAACAGGGCCUUCCAAAUUUUUUUUUGGGAAAUCGACACUGUAGCAUUUUCGUUUGUAUUUGAUGAAAAUUGUCCAAUCAUAGACUAACUAGGCUUAAAAGAUUCGUCUCGUCAAUUCCGACCAAACUGUAUAAUUAGUUUUUAUUUUUGUCUAUAUUUAAUACUCCAUGCAUGCGUUUAAAGAUUGGAUGUGACGGGAAAUCUGAAAAAUUUUGCAAAUUUUUUUGAACUAAACAAGGCCUUAUUACCAGUAGUUUUUUCGCUUUUUUUUCUCCCCGUUUUUGCUGUGCCUAAUAAUUACUUGUUGGAUUACUGUGCAGCUGCCGAGAUAUGGCUAGGCUUGAGCUAACACAACCUUGCCCCAGCAUAUAAGGCCUUGUUUUAGUUCCUCACCCAAAGACUUUUCACCCAUCACAUUCAAAUCUUGGAUACAUGCAUAGAACAUUAAAUUAGAUAAAAACAAAAACUAAUUGCGCAAUUCAAAACCAUUUUGCAACUA
rnacentral:lncRNA from 1 species